UUCUAGCCCCGAUGGAAGCGGCAUCCUCUGAAGGCGCGACAGCGCCAAGGAGAUACAGCGGACAGCGGGUUUCAAU
rfam:Chryseobacterium solincola strain DSM 22468 contig03, whole genome shotgun sequence.